UAAGCACCUUUCAGGCUGAUCACAUUGCUAUUUAAAGAUGGGCCUUGGGUCUCCUUGAUGAGUGCAUUGUCCUGGAGGUGCAUCCCAUUAAAUACAACUUCCCUUCCCCCAAGUCCUUGGCUGUCUUCAAGUGAAAAUUCCAUUGGUUUUUAAGAAGAGUGUCCUGCUCUGUCCUUAAAGCUGACUUUGCAAGUGAUCUUAACCCCGGGUUGUGUCUCAGACUCUGGAAACUUUAACGUAUGUAUAAUGUGUCAGAAGUUUUGGGUUUUCUGACUGUUUUGUUUUUAGUUUAAUUCAAUUAGAGAAACCUUUGAAAAUGGUGAUGUUAUUUCUGGUAUUUAGGAAGCAUUUCCGUACUGUCAGUGUCUUGUGUCAUCAGAAUACCGGUGGCUUAGAAUCAGAGAUUCAGGCCUUUGGCCUGGUACACGGUGAACCCGGGCAUCUUAUGAUGGAGCUUGUUGUUAGUAUAUAUUUAAAUGUCUGGAACCUUAAUAGUAGAGAGGUAGAGGUGUUAUGUAUUAAUCUAUCCCACUCUCCGUAGUGGGAGCUAGAUGCAGGAGAAGAAAGGCAGGUGUAAAUCUAGGAAGAGUGAGUCAGCAGAAGAUGUGCUUGGUCCCGGUGACUCCAUCCAUGAGUGCUCACAUCUCUGGCUUUUGCAGUCUAGUUAGUGGGGAUUGGGAUGUUAAUUACACAUUUCCCAUCCUUCCUGGCUGUCUCGUAGGCCUUCGUUUUGCUUUGAGAAAUGGAAUCCUCUGAGACAAGCCCACAGACCCACCAUCGGUCUGUUGCCUGGUUGCUGGGUUUUGACCUCUCCUUUCCUGUUCUGUCUGGCCUGAGAUACUGCGAGGGGUUGGAGGGGGUAGGUAGUUAAGUGACCUCAGGAGCCUGUUAUAGGGAGUAGCAUGCUCUUAGGCAGGAUCAGGUACCCAGUUUCACCUAUUGGAAAUUCGGAAACUCAAAAGCCUAAGGUAUCGCCUCACCCCAAACAUCUCAGGUCCCUCUCCUCCCUUCUCUCCCCUUCACUCUCCCUCCCCCACUCCAAGUCUUCUUUUUUCCAUUCUCUGUCUUUUUGACAGGGUUUCAUGUGGCCCAGGCUGGCCUUGAAUUCAGUUACUGAGGAUGUCCUUGUGUUUCGACGACGUCCUGUCUACCGAGGCCCCAGUCAUGCACCACCACACCACACCCUCCUGGGCUGUUUGGUGAAUCUGUGAUUCUGCCUUGCCUUAUAACAUACUCGUCCUUCCUAUUAUAAAUAGACUUUUUCUCUUAGAGGAAGUGGACGUUGGUCACUCGGAGACAAGAUUCCAGGGCGGAUUGAUGACUUGGAAUUUUGAUCUUGUCAUUUCAACACUUGGACAAGGGAACUUUGCUGUGCCUCAGUUCCCCCAGCUGUGAGAAUGGAGAUAAUGACGAUGUUCACGUGGGGUGGGGGCAAGGGAUGGGGCCAAGGGAAGAUAAAUUAAAUAGUUGCUUAUUUAAGUACUAUAAAUGAUGUCUGGCCUGUAAAGAGUGAUAUUGAUUAAAAACUCAACAUAAUUAUAAUACAAAAUAAUUAUAGUAAUAAGCCAUCUACUUCUUCUUCUUUUUUUUUUUUUUAAUGAGGAUUGUUAAGUAGCAUUGUUCCAUACAGUGAUCUGACAUCAGUACUAAAGCAAUAGGAAAAUCUUCGCUGCUUCCAGGAUCUUCUUGUUUCAAUGUUUAGAAAAGAGUCAGUAUUUCAGUGAGGUGGACAGAUGACUACCCAGGUCCUUUAUUUUUUCUGGAUUGGUGCUAUGUUGGAAAAAAAAAUACAUGCAAUUCCUCUCAAAGAAAACUGCAGAAAAUUGAGUGCUAGUAAAAGCUGUUAAUAUACACUUACUGUUAGAACAUGAAGAACAUUUCACAAUGG
rnacentral:lncRNA from 1 species